CUCUUCCCUUCCUAUAGGCAGAAACGCUUGUCUGACCAAUUGGAAUCCAUGCUUCAAGACUGUUUUGAUUACGGGGACUGGGAUAUGUUCCGGGUUGCCUCAGAAGAACAUUGACGUAUACACGGACACGGUAACUGAGUUCAUCAGGAAGUGUAUAGGGGAUAUUGUUCCCACUGUGAGUAUUAAAACGUACCUAAUCCAAAAAAUGUGGAUAGAUGGCUGCCUUCGUGCAAAACUGAUAGCGUGAACCACUGCAUUUAACCACGGCAAGGUGACUGAGAAUAUGGUUGAACACAAAUAGUGUAGUUAUUCCCUCCAUAAGGCAAUCAAACAGGCAAAACGUCAGUACAGAGACAAAGUAGAGUUGCAAUUCAAUGGCUCAGACACAAGAUGUAUUUGGUAAGGUCUACAGACAAUCACGGAUUACAAAGGGAAACCCAGCCACGUCUUGCUCCUGGACAAGCUAAAACACCUUCUUCCCGCUAUGAGGAUAACACAGUGCCAGCGACGCGGCCCGCUCCCAAGUACUGUGAGAUCUCGUUCUCCAUGGCCGACUCUGCUGUCCUCACUUGCUUCAAGAUGUCCACCAUUGUUACUGUACCCAAUAAAGCAACGGUAACUGAAGUAAAUGACUAUCGCCCCAUAGCACUCACUUCUGGCAUCAUGAAGUACUUUGGGAGGCUAGUUAAGGAUCAUAUCACCUCCACCUUACUUGUCACCCUAGACCCACUUCAACUUGCAUACCGCCCCAAAAGAUUCACAGACGGCGCUGUCUUCCCAACGCAUCACCGGGGGCACACUGCCUGCCCUCCAGGACACCUACAGCACCGAUGUUACAGGAAGGCCACAAAGAUUUUCAAGGACAUCAACCACCAGAGCCAUGGCCUGUUCACCCCUCUACCAUCCAGUAGGCGAGGUCAGUGCAGGUGCAUCAAACCUGGGACCGAGAGACUGAAAAACAGCUUCUAUCUCAAGGCCAUCAGACUAGCCUAGAACAUGGAGGUGGAAACAUUAUGCUUUGGGGGUGUUUUUCUGCUAAGGGGACAGGACAACUUCAGGGACGAUGGAUGGGGCCAUGUACCGUCAAAUCUUGGGUGAGAACCUCCUUCCCUCAGCUAGGGCAUUGAAAAUGGGUCGUGGAUGGGUAUUCCAGUAUGACAAUGAUCCAAAACACACGGCCAAGGUAACAAAGGAGUGGCUCAGGAAGAAGCACAUUAAGGUCCUGGAGCGGCCUAGCCAGUCUCCAGUCCUUAAUCCCAUAGAAAAUCUAUGGAGGGAGCUGAAGGUUCGAGUUGCCAAACGUCAGCCUCGAAACCUUAAUGACUUGGAGAAGAUCUGCAAAGAGGAGUGGGACAAAAUCCCUCCUGAGAUGUGUGCAAAGCUGGUGGCCAACUACAAGAAACGUCUGACCUCUGUGAUUGCCAACAAGGGUUUUGCCACCAAGUACUAAGUCAUGUUUUGCAGAGGGGUCAAAUACUUAUUUCCCUCAUUAAAAUGCAAAUCAUUUUAUAACAUUUUUGACAUGCGUUUUUCUGGAUUUUUUCCUUAUUCUGUCUCUCAAUGUUCAAAUAAACCUACUAUUAAAAUUAUAGACUGAUCAUUUCUUUGUAAGUGGGCAAAUGUACAAAAUCAGCAG
rnacentral:lncRNA from 1 species